AGUGAACGCUGGCGGUAGGCCUAACACAUGCAAGUCGAACGGCAGCACAGUAAGAGCUUGCUCUUACGGGUGGCGAGUGGCGGACGGGUGAGGAAUACAUCGGAAUCUACUUUUUCGUGGGGGAUAACGUAGGGAAACUUACGCUAAUACCGCAUACGACCUACGGGUGAAAGCAGGGGAUCUUCGGACCUUGCGCGAUUGAAUGAGCCGAUGUCGGAUUAGCUAGUUGGCGGGGUAAAGGCCCACCAAGGCGACGAUCCGUAGCUGGUCUGAGAGGAUGAUAGGCCACAAUGGAAGUGAGACAAGGUCCAGACUCCGAAGGGAGGCAGGAGUAGGGAAUGUUACGCAAUGGGCGAAAGACUGACGGAGCAAGGCCGCGUGAGUGAUGAAGGUAUUCGGAUCGGAAAACUCUGUUACUAGGGAAGAACAAAUGUGUAAGGAAAUAUGCACGUAUUGACGGUACCUAAUCAGAAAGCCACGGCUAACUACGUG
rnacentral:rRNA from 1 species